UACGGAGGGGGCUAGCGUUGUUCGGAAUUACUGGGCGUAAAGCGCACGUAGGCGGAUCAGCCAGUCAGGGGUGAAAUCCCGGGGCUCAACCCCGGAACUGCCCUUGAUACUGCUGGUCUGGAGUUCGAGAGAGGCGAGUGGAAUUCCGAGUGUAGAGGUGAAAUUCGUAGAUAUUCGGAGGAACACCAGUGGCGAAGGCGGCUCGCUGGCUCGACACUGACGCUGAGGUGCCAAAGCGUGGGGAGCAAACAGGAUUAGAUACCCCCGUAGU
rnacentral:rRNA from 1 species